rnacentral:tRNA from 1 species
ACUUAUGUUAGGAUAAUUCAAUAAAAAAAAGCCGGAAUAGCUCAGUCGGUAG